rnacentral:rRNA from 1 species
UGCGUAGGCGGGUCUUUAAGUCAGAGGUGAAAUCCUGGAGCUCAACUCCAGAACUGCCUUUGAUACUGAAGAUCUUGAGUUCGGGAGAGGUGAGUGGAACUGCGAGUGUAGAGGUGAAAUUCGUAGAUAUUCGCAAGAACACCAGUGGCGAAGGCGGCUCACUGGCCCGACUACUGACGCUGAGGCACGAAAGCUGGGGAGCAAACA